UGGGUUUGACAUCAGGGGAAAAGCUGCAGAGAUGCAGUGUCCGUAAGGGCCCCUGACAGGUGGUGCAUGGCUGUCGUCAGCUCGUGCCGUGAGGUGUUGGGUUAAGUCCCGCAACGAGCGCAACCCCCGUCCUUAGUUGCCAGCACGUAAUGGUGGGGACUCUAGGGAGACUGCCGGCGCCAAGCCGGAGGAAGGUGGGGAUGACGUGUCGUUACCUUA
rnacentral:misc_RNA from 1 species